AUUGUCUUCUACAGUAGAGCGGGACAUUUGAUUUACUCUCAGCGGAAUUGACCGGAGAAGGCAUCAGUUCAUGCACUGCACUGGCCCGCACCACGAUUAGUAUAAGGCACAUUUCACGAAGCAGAACGCAGUCUUCAGAGAUAUCCACGUGAACGCUGUGAUACGUCUGACCUUCAGUCCGAAGAAGAAACCCAGACCAGUCUUAAAAGAAAGCACAAACCAAAUCCCCUGUACACAUAUACGGACUCAGAGGAUGAGCAGCCUACAAAAAAACGGUUUCCCCAGGCCCCUCGAGUGAAAAUACCAGCCCUCAUCACUCCGCAGUCUGCCCCCCAGCCCACUGAUAGCAACCAUCAUAAUGCCCCACCCAGCUUCCUGCACCUUUCGCCACUCCGGCACAAACCGAAACAGCUUUGCGAUCUCGCCAGCAUGCAGAGUCUGAUGUCUUCCCUAUAGAUGGUAUGCUUUUAAAAAAGCUUUAAAGCUGCAUCACAAUGUCAUUGUACUCUUAUCUUCAAAACACCAGUUUAUACUCCUGAAUGUCAUCUUGUUGUGAUUUUUUUUUCUGUAGAUUCCAGAGACUCUGUGAGGCCACUAUUACAAGGCAAGUUUGAAAAUCUUGGAAUUUCACAGUUUACAUGGUAUAACAAAUAU